AAUCGUAAUUUUUCUCUCAAAUUUCUUUUUUCUUCUUAUUUCUUUUGAGAAAUUUUCACGAUCAAUCGGAGAUCGGUCUCAAAUAUUCUUAGAUUAGGUUUUGGAGGAUGCUUGAUUCGGCGUGAAAUUGCUACCAUGGUCUGGGUUUCUUCUUCCUCGUGGUAAUUUGAUUUGAUUUCUUUCUAAUAUUUCGUGAAUUUGUAUUCUAAUAGUUCGUAUAUAAUUUCUUGUUUAGGGUUUUGAUUCAGUACUUGAAGGUUGCUUGAUUCGGCGUGAAAUUGCUACCAUGGUCUGGGUUUCUUCUUCCUCGUGGGUUUUGAUUACUGGAAGCUUUAGUCUCCGCUUGUAACCCGUCGUCGUCGAGGUAUGCAUGUCUCUGUCUUUCUCGAUUUUAAAUUUUGGUUUUGGUUUUGGUUUUGGUUUUUGUCUUUCAACAUUUUUAGGAUUGAAAUUGAACCAGACCAAAAUUGUAUGAUCAGUUCUCGUCGAUGAGAAUGUUUUGCAAUUGACAUCUGUUUUGAUUUUGAUCCAAGUGAGCAAAAUUCUGCUUUUAAUAAGAUUUCAAAGCCUUUUAAUUGUUCUGCGGAUUCAUAGUUUUGAAAUCAAGAUUUUGUUUUCUCGAUCUAACAACAAAAUUCCUCUCUUUAAUAAGAUUUUCAAAGGAUUUUAAAAGGAUUUUUGGUUUUGAUGUUUUUGUUUUUUCUUUCAAAACCCAAAAAAGAUCAUGGGCAGGGCACUCAUAUGAUAGUGUUCUGUCAGAUUCUAUUUUGGGGACAUUGUCCCGGGCAAAAUUUUGAGUUAUUGGAUGGGUAGUGCAUGCAUGUUGGGAGAUGGGAAAAGUGGUUUCGAUUUGUUGGAUGGGAAUGAUCUUACCUCUUAAUAAAGUCUUGAAACAGAGACUGAAUCAUAAAAAGACUUCACAAUUGUGCAACCAUCGGCUUAGAAAAAUCAAAAGACAAAGAGUCAAAGACUUGUUGGAUGGUAAAAACGACCAACUGUUUAAGAUAAAGACUAUGGAAAGAAUAAGACUUGUUGGAUGGUAAAAACGACCAACAGAGAGAAAGACUAUGGAAAGAAUAAGACUUGUUGGAUGGUAUAAACGACCAACAGAGAGAAAGACUAUGAAGGGUUAUUAAGACUUGUUGGAUGGUACAAACGACCAACAGUUUAAGAUAAAGACUCUGAAAGGGUUAAGACUUGUUGGAUGGUAAAAACGACCAACAGAAAUAAAUACUAUGGAAGGGUUAUGAAAACUUGUUGGAUGGUACAAACGACCAACAAUUUAAGAUAAAGACUAUGAAAGGGUUAAGAUUUGUUGGAUGGUAAAAACGACCAACAGUUUUUAAGAUAAAGGCUGAACCUAAAAGUAAUAGACUCACGGCUUGAAGAGGUCAUAAGAGAAAGGCGAUGAAGCGGUUUAAGACUUGUUGGAUGGUAAAAACGACCAACAUAUAUGGAGUAGUGUAAGAUUCGCUGGAUGGUAAAAACGACCAGUAGAUAUGAAGCAUUUUGAGACUUGUUGGAUGGUAAAAACGACCAACAACUUGUUGGAUAAAAUCAGACUAACGGCUUAAAAAGAUACAAGACAUAUAUACUUGGCAAAGUUCUAAGAAUUGUUGGAUGGUAAAAACGACCAACAUAUGUGGAGCAAUUUAAGACUUCCUGGAUGGUAAAAACGACCAGCAGCUUGGUAGAUGGAAACAGACCAACAGCUUAAAAAGAGACAUAAGACAAAAAAGACUUGACAAAGUUCUAAGAUUUGUUGGAUGGUAAAAACGACCAACGCAUAUGAAGACUUGACAAAGUUCUAAGAUUUGUUGGAUGGUAAAAACGACCAACGCAUAUGAAGACUUGACAAAGUUCUAAGAUUUGUUGGAUGGUAAAAACGACCAACGCAUAUGAAGCAGUUUAUGACUUACUGGAUGGCCAGUUUAAGACUUGUUGGAUGGUAAAAACGACCAACAGAUUUGGCGCAGUUUAGAUUUGCUGGAUGCUAAAAACGACUAGCAACUAUGAAGCGUUUUGAGACUUGUUGGAUGGUAAAAACGACCAACAUAUAUGGAGCAGUUUAAGACUGGAUGGUAAAAACGACCAGCAGCUAUGUAGCGUUUUGAGACUUGUUGGAUGGUAAAAACGACCAACAGCUAUGUAGCGUUUUGAGACCAACAACUUGUUAGAUGAAAACAGACCAACGGCUUAAAAAGAGACAUAAGACAGAAACAAUUGAAAUUGUUCUAAGACUUGUUGGAUGGUAAAAACGACCAACAUAUAUGGAGCAGUUUAAGACUGGAUGGUAAAAACGACCAGCAGCUAUGUAGCGUUUUGAGACUUGUUGGAUGGUAAAAACGACCAACAGCUAUAUAGCGUUUUGAGACUUGUUGGAUGGUAAAAACGACCAACAGCUGAAGAAGUCAUAAGGCAAAGAGUAUGCUACGGUAAUUUGACAAACCUAAUAGUCUCACGUCUUAAAGAAUUCAUGAGACAAAGAUUAUGAGCGGUUUAAGAUUUGUUGGAUGGUAUAAACGACCAGCAGCUUGAAGAAGGCUUAAGAUAAAGAGUGAACCUAAAUCUUGAAAAAGUCAUAAGGCAAAGAGUACGGAGAGGUAAGUAUUAGGCAUUUACAUUAUAUGAAGACUAACCAAUUCUGUUUUCUUCCUCAGGUAUGUGCUUCUAAAGGCGUUCAAAUUGAUAGACUCUGAGGAGAUUUCAAGUGUAGCAGACUUCUUUGACAGGUAUAUAUAUAUAUGCUUCAGAGGUAUUCACAUUUUCCUUCCCACCAAAGAGAUUCUGAAUGUAGCAAAAUUCUAUGAUCAGGUAUAUGCUUUUCUAUACUUUUCUAUGGUACAUUGAUAAUUUUCACACGUAAUAAUAAGUUAAGUGUUAUAUAUAUUUAUAGUAAAGAAAUUAGAAAUGAAAACCUAAGCACCAUCUAUAGUUAAAUGUUUCUUAGCAUUACUAUCCUUGAUCUAGUAUCUGGCAUAUUCUAGAAACUUAUUGCUAACAUAUCCAUUGAUAAAAUGGUAGAUUUUGCUUUGGGUAUUGGAACACUACAUUGUGUGUAAAAAAUAUUCAUUAUUUUUGUUUCAGUGCUUAUAUGUAUCAUAAGUUCUCUCAUUUUAUGAAAUAGAUGCAUUUUGGAGUCUUCCAAUAGAUAUUUAUAUUAAAUGUAGGUUAGUAAUAGGUCAUACAGAUUCUGAUAGUAGUUUCCGUGAAUCUCAAAUGUAUUUGUUUUGCCUUAUUCUCUAAACCCUUGGUGAUCAUUUUAAACAUAUGAAACGACAUUCUGAAAAUUCUGCAUCAUACACUGAUAAAAAGGUAGAUUCCACUUAUGGAAAUUGAGAAUUUUACAUUGUGUAUAAAAUACUUAUUAUGCUUCUAUGAAUGAUGAAGUUUCUUAUGAAAUACACAUCUUGUAGUUUCUUGUAGAUAUUUAUUUUGAAUGUAGGUGCAAGUGCUGCAGAUGAUGGUAGUAGUUUUAUUGAUUCUCGAAUGUCUUUGUUUUGCAUUAUGCUUUAAUCCCAUGGUGAUUGACAUUUUGGAUUUCUGCAUUAUCGACUGAUGAUUACUGUGUUAGAUUCCAUAAAUUGUACUCGUUAGCUUGUGUGUAUAUUAUACAAUGAGUGUCUCUGUUAUGGAACUAGAAUGUGCAAUGGAUCUUUCUUGAUUUAUUUACCAUUUUUUAAUAACACUUUUCUGUGAUUGAUUUCAAAAUCUGAAAUUAGUACACUUUUAUCAUCCCCAUUGCAAGCUUGUAAUAGGUGCUCUGAUCUUCUCUGCUAUUUUAUGUGGACUACAUGUAUUCUUUGUCCAAUGUUUUGUUUCAGUUCUAGGAACCGUACUACCGUUGUUUGCUAUAUAGAUGUUAGACUUCAAAUUUCUUGACUCUCUACACAGAUUUAUAUACAAAUUCUAGUUUUGUUAUUCACACAUCCCCGAUUUAUAUAACAUUGUAUAAGAGUCUCUGUUUAGUUACGUUUCUAAGAAAUGACUCAAUUCACUAUAAGGUCCAUCUUGCAGAAUUACAGAUAUUGUAGGUAAAUUCACAUGUAACCUUUCUAUGUGUAUAUAUAUUUCACCUCUUGUCUAUUCCAUGUUUUAUUCUAUUUAUUGUUGUUUGUUUGUUUACAAUGCUUUAUGUAAUUUUUGAGUUUUGUGUUGCAUUAUAAAAUCUGUAUGGUGAUCAUAGUUCAUGCAUUUUGGUUGGUUGUGUGAUAGUCUUUUGAUCAUUCUUUGGAUGAUACCAUUGUGACUUUUGCUUCUUGAUUCUUGGAAUAUUUAGUGUGAUAAAUUUGAUUUUUGUGGGAGUAUUUAUUUUUGCGUGUUUAUCCUAAAUUAUUCCCAAUUACGGGGUUCAUCAAUGUCUAUGAUUGGUAUUAUCUCUGUUUUCUUGCUUGUGUGGAUCAUAAUGUCUCUCGUUUUGUGAAAUGAAUGCAUCUUCGAGUCUCAUGUAGAUAUUUAUUGUGAACGUAGGUGAGACUCCAGAAGUGUGGUAGUAGUUUCCUUGAAUCUCAAAUGUAUUUUUCUUACGUUAUGCUCUAAACAUGCGAAAUGACAUUCUCGAAUUCUGCAUCAUACUCUGAUGAUUACUGUGUUAGAUUCUACCAAUUGUACUCUUUGGCUUGAUUUUUUUAAAGUACAAUGAUUGAAAAUAUCUCUGUUAUCGCACUAGUGUCUUUACAUUGUUGAUGGAAAAUUGGAAACUCUUAACUCAAUUGAAUCAAUGUUGUUUUUAUUUAGAAUGUGCAAUGGAUCUUUCUUGAUUUUCUUAACAUGUUUUUUGUUUUAUAAUAACAUUAAUUUAUGAUUGAUGUCAAAAACAAAAAAUUAGCAGAGAAUCUUAUCAUCCCCAUUGUAGGCAUGUUGGCAUGGUUCUCUGAUCUUUUGGUCGACUAAAUAUACUCUUAUGUUUAAUAUUUUGUUUCAGCUUUAUUAACCAUAGUUUGCUAUAAUACUUGUGAGACCUGAAAUUUCUCGACUCUCUCUACUCUAGUACAGAGAUUUCUAUACAAAAUCUAGUUUUUGGUUUUUUUUGUAUGUUAAUAUAUGUACAAAAUCCUACAUAGGUAAAGUAACUCAUUAAGUUACUCUUCUAGCACUAUAAGAGUCUGUUAUGUUUCUAAGAAACAGGACAUUUGAUUGCCAAACCUUUCCAAAUUCAGCUUUAUCUUUUCAAAAUUGACGUUGGGUUAUAUACCAUUUGUAACCUUUUAAAAAAUGAAUUUUAUUGUUGUUUGUUUGUUUAAAAUGCACAUUUGAAAUUUGGAUGUUGGUGUUGCUGAAAACCAAUGUUUUAUGUAUUGUUUAGCUUACGGUACUUGCAUUUUUUGGUUGGUUGUCCCGGUCGUUUUAUUAAUCAUUCUUUGGAUGAUACCAUAUUUACUUUCGCUUCUCUAUUCGUUGAUUGCUUAGUGUGGUAAAUUGCUUCAAUUUCUUUGUGAAUAUUUUUAUUCUUGUAUGUUUGUCCUAAAUUAUUAUACCCAAUUAAGGGUCCAUUUAGUCUUGGGCAAAAUACCUGAGCCAAAGUAUCAAACCGGGACCAAAUAUGCUUGAACCGAAUGGUACUUGAACCGGAACCAAACCGAAAUUUCUUCGGUUCUUAUAUUCAUCAUUAAGUUGAGAACCGAAGAAAACGGGGACGAUGGUUAAGAACCAUAUACCCGAACGCCUAUGACUUGGUCCAAUGUCUAUGAUUGGUUAUGCGUACAAACAUGACUUGAAUCUUUUGUUCAGUGCAUAGUAUUUUAUACGACGAAACCACCUUGAACACUAUUUAAACUAAUUAAACCAAAUAAAGUUAGUUUUUUCAAAGCUGCCAGUAAUAAAACAAACUAGUUUAUUCAAAGAAAAACAGAGAUGUAUCUUAAAUUAUUCCUAAUUGGACAAAUAUCUGGUUUUGGAAUAUUUCGAGUUCCAUUUGAAGAUGGGACUGAAACAUGAUGAGUUCUAUACUAUACAAGGGAAAAUUCAUAAGAUAGUAAUUUUUUUUUUAAAUAGUCUUUCCAUCUAAUUUAUUUAUGAUAUAGAAUCCAAGGGUGAAAUACAUGGAAUACAAAGGCCGGCAGGACUUUAACCCUUUGAAACUGAGCUUCAAACUCGGGGAGGCAAACAAAAAACGAAAACUUAACAUAUCUAAACAUAAAUACAAUUUUCUUUUUACUCAAAUAAACCGAGAUUGCAAAAACUAGCAGGCUAUCUAUAAAGAAGCAUAUCACAACCUUGAAAUACUCCCAUCAUCUUGCUUCACUUGGUGAUUAAGAGUCUUCAGAAGAAAAACUUUGGGAUAUCUUCAGUGGCGGAACGGUGGAACCUUAACCAAAAAUGUAAAGACCAUCAUAAUCGCCAUGGCCGGAGAUGUCAAGUAAGCGACUUGAACCGGUAAGAGGAACUCAAACCUAGGGUGAUCUCGCCUAAUUAGAUCCGAUUGUUGAAACUGUGUGAGGAAACCCAACAAAUUGGGUUGCCCAAAUCGAAUCACUACCACACCGAUAGAGAGUGGCUUAGAGCUAUCAUGGUUUGGGGCAAGGAAAUUCAAGAAAAAAAAAAAGAAAACUGAAACCUGCAACAAAAUCAAACAAAC